rnacentral:misc_RNA from 1 species
AACGCACAUUGCGCCCGCCAGUACUCUGGCGGGCAUGCCUGUCCGAGCGUCAUCUCAACCCUCGGGCCCCCUCUGCGGGCCCGGCGUUGGGGAUCGGCGAACCCCCUCCGGGGGCGCCGGCCCCGAAAUAUAGUGGCGGCCACGCUGGCGACCUCCUUUGCGUAGUAGCACAACCUCGCACCGGAGCGCGGGCGCGGCCACGCCGUUAAACCCCCCACUUCUGAACGGUUGACCUCGGAUCAGGUAGGACUACCCGCUGAACUUAA